rnacentral:sRNA from 1 species
GAUUCAUGGAGGCAUGAAGGAUCCCAGCAAGAAAACACAGACUUGAUCUUGAGAUGAGAUUUUUGAAGUUGGCUGCGGCCUCAAGGCAGGCUCUGAGAAGACUCGAUAAAGAGUUCUCAGGAAUAGGCAUCCCUCCUGGAUAUUUCCCCCUUGGAAGCGCCGAGGAGCCAGUUAUAUGUUUGUAACCACAGCAUUUCUAAAGCUGCAGCCCCAGGAACCUGCUAUGAAUUAGAAACAGAUUCCACCCUAGACAUCAGUGACCUUGGCCUCUCGUAUUGGGAAGGUCAACACUGUUCCAGUUUCCCUCCUACUCCCAUCUGGUUGUGCUCGGUGAAGUAGGUGAGCAGUGCUACACUUCUGUUAAAAAAAAAAAAAAAAAAGAUCCUGAAAGAGGAAAGAAUUUUUGCUACACAUCUGAAAGCUGAAGUCCAGGUGAUGCCUUGAUUACCUAGCUUUGGCUUCUCUGAACUCUGCUUCUCUGGUAGAGGAAACCUGAAGAGAACUAGCAUUUCUAAAACCAUGGCCCAGUCGCACCCGGCCUCUGCUGGGAUUUUGACUGAGAUUAUGUUGAAUCU